ACGCUCGACACCUACGGGAGGUAGCAGUCGGGAAUAUUGCGCAAUGGAGGAAACUCUGACGCAGUGACGCCGCGUGCAGGAAGAAGGUUUUCGGAUUGUAAACUGCUUUAGACAGGGAAGAAAGAAAUGACAGUACCUGUAGAAUAAGCUCCGGCUAACUACGUGUCAGCAGCCGCGGUAAUCUGAGCGGGCUGGCAAGGC
rnacentral:rRNA from 1 species